rnacentral:rRNA from 1 species
UUGCCUUAGUAACGGCGAGUGAAGCGGCAAAAGCUCAAAUUUGAAAUCGGCCACCAGGUCGAGUUGUAAUUUGUAGAUUGUAUCUUGAGAGCGGAUUAAAGUCUGUUGGAACACAGCGCCUUAGAGGGUGACAGCCCCGUAAAAUCUAUUCUCAUUGUAAGAUACUUUCGAAGAGUCGAGUUG